UGGUGGUUCGUGAUGCCAAGCACAUGA
rnacentral:piRNA from 1 species